GACGAACGCUGGCGGCGUGCCUAAUACAUGCAAGUAGGACGAAGUUGCGAACGGGUGAGUAACGCGUAGGUAACUACCUAUUCGAGGGGGCUAACUAUUGGAAACGAUAGCUAAUACCGCAUACUCGUAGAUGGACCUGAGUUGUAUUAGCUAGUAGGUAGGGGAAUGGCAUACCUAGGCAACGAAACAUAGCCGAGCCUGGGGGGGUAGUCGGCAAAAUUGGACGGAGACAAGGGCCAGAACACUACGGGGAGCAACAGUAGGGAAUUUUCGGAAAUUGGGGGAACCCUUACCGAGCAACGCCGCGUGAUGGAAAAAGGUUUUCGGAUCGUAAAACUCUGUUGAUAAGGAAGCGGUACUUAACCAGAAAGGGACGGCUAACUACGUGCCAGCCGCCGCGGUAAUAC
rnacentral:rRNA from 1 species